UGUUCGUUUUGAUGAUUUCGAAUAUUGGUCUCGCACCUCGAUACAACCCAAAUAAAGUUGCCCGGAAAGUUCCCUAAUUAACUAUGUUGACAUUAUAUGGCGAUCACUAAUGUAUAUACGUAUACAAAAUAUCAACUUGCGUAACUAAAUUCAACAAAAAAAAUGUUUUCCACUGACUAUUAUCAUUAAACUUAUAAAGAUAUAUCUACUACGUUGAUAGAUUAGGUUAGGCUCCUACGUAGUUAAAUUAUUAGAUAAAUAUAACACAAUAGUUUUUC